CGGCGUCCUGGGGCUUCCACUGUGAGGACGGAGCUUCCUCUCAGCACCCACCCAGGAGGGGCCGGGGCUUCGGGACACCUGGGGCCACGUCCGCUGUGAGGACAGGGAGACGCUCCGGGACACCUGGGGCCGCCGAGGAGAGAAAAACACAAACAAAUGAAAACAAAACCAAAAAAACCAUUGUGUGCGUCUAAUGGAAGUGAACUUGUCAACAACAGUUUUUCUUUUGUCGAGAAAGUCUGUUUAAUUUACAGUGUAUUUGUAAUGGUACAUAAAAUGGCGUCUGUUUUAUAAACAUUCUCAUCCUAAGUUGGUUGAAAUGUAUUAACUAUAUCAAGGUUUGACAUGAUACCAUAAAAUUAAUUGAA
rnacentral:antisense_RNA from 1 species